GCCUAGUCUAUGGUGCCACAAGUACUUCUAGUUAAUCUCAUCUCUGGUUCUCUUUUGGCCUACAGCACUCAUAUUUGCUCGUUUAGAUUCACAUUCGCAUCAAUAUACAAGUGAUAAAGAUUGUCAAUUAAAAGAUCUCGUAUAAUCAAUUUAUUUCAUAAAUAAAUAAGAUAAAAAUCUUUAUUGAAACUAAUUUUAAAAUCUUCU
rnacentral:lncRNA from 1 species